GAAUGAGAGUACAGGUAUUCGUUGAGAACGAGAGUACUGAGUGUGACCACCUCGAGCAGUCAUAAGGAAGUCUACCUUCUCAUCGAUGACUAGCUCGAUGCUGCAGUUGUGUGUCUAGUUCUUUGACCUGAGGUGCAUCGAUGGUUCACCUUGAGUGUGUUAUAGUUUGACUACACCAUAACUCGAUCUCCUAGCCAUUCAAAAUCCUGAGGUGUAUGUUGGCUGUAGCAUAUCCAUUGUAGGAACCAGAUCGUACUAAGAUGGGAUCUAUCAACCUCGGUAGAUGAGAGAAGUAGUCCUAUGAGAUCAUGACAUGUCUCAUUACCAUACAGAAUUGAACCUAACUGGGUCACACAAAUAAGGGUUAGGGUCUGGAUGUCAUCAAUUGGGCUACCCCAAUUGAUUUGGAUAAGAUCCAAUUAGGUUCAAAGAAAUCGUGCUAGCACUCGAUUGAGCCUAACUUUCUCCUCGU
rnacentral:lncRNA from 1 species